GCAUCCGUAGCUCAGUUGGAUAGAGCGUUGGCCUCCGAAGCCAAAGGUCGCGCGUUCGAGUCGCGCCGGUUGCACCA
rnacentral:tRNA from 1 species